UCUUCCCUCUGGCUUCGUGCUUAACACAUGCAAGUCGAACGAGAAGUGAAGACGGAAACCUUCGGGCGGAAGGCUUUAUUUCGAGUGGCGGACGGGUGAGUAACGCGUGGGUAACCUGCCUCAUACAGGGGGAUAACAGUUGGAAACGACUGUUAAUACCGCAUAAGACCACAGCACCGCAUGGUGCGGGGGUAAAAACUCCGGUGGUAUGAGAUGGACCCGCGUUCGAUUAGCCAGUUGGCGGGGUAACGGCCCACCAAAGCGACGAUCGAUAGCCGAUCUGAGAGGAUGACCGGCCACAUUGGGACUGAGACACGGCCCAAACUCCUACGGGAGGCAGCAGUGGGGAAUAUUGCACAAUGGGGGAAACCCUGAUGCAGCGACGCCGCGUGAGUGAAGAAGUAUUUCGGUAUGUAAAGCUCUAUCAGCAGGGAAGAAAAUGACGGUACCUGAGUAAGAAGCCCCGGCUAACUACGUG
rnacentral:rRNA from 1 species